UAUGCCUCACUUAUGAGACAAUCCUGAGGCAGUGGAAAGAAUGUUCUGCACAAUCUUUUUCACUCAUGUGCCCACUUGGGCAAAUGUAAAUCAGUUAUUAAAUACUCUCACAACAGAAGAUGAAAAACAAAAAGUAAAAGAAAAAUCUGCAGCUCAUUUAAAUGCACCUUGGCUAAUUACUGACCCUAACUGGAAUCCCAAUAAUCCAGCUCAAAAGACAAAGUUGGAUGGGUUUUUAAAAGCUGUUUUGAAUGGUAUUAGAGAUGCAGGGGAGGCUACUCCAAAUUGGAGCAAGGUGACUGCUUGUGUUCAGCAUCCAGAUAAGCACCUCUCUGACUUUUGUGCUCAACUGAUUUGUAAAGUUAAAAAGCAUGGGAAUUUAAAUCCUGAAACUAAUCAUGGAAAGGAGAUGGUUAAAAUGGUUUUCAUGUCACAAUGUGCAAAGGAUAUUGCAAAAAGAUUUAGAAAGCAUCCAGAUGGUACGCAAGAAAAAAGUUUGUCUGAAGUAGUUAGCAUUGCUACUAGAAUGUUUAAUGGGAAAGAAAAAAAAAAAGAAAAAAACAUAAGGAAUGGGUUAAUUUAAAAAUCAUCUCGGCCCCGGGAUGGAAGGAGGGGGGUGCUCUGCGUUCAGGGUCAGGAAUUGGCGCGGACUGUGCUUGGUGCAGGGAGGGGCUGCUUUCGGCCCCAGCUGGCUGUGAAGAAAAAAGAUAUAGACAGAGGCGAAGCAAAGGAAAUACAAGUUACAGAACUGAAAUUACAUUUGCAAAGCUUAACUGUCCAGUAAGAUCCAACAGUGUGCCUUUGUGACCCUGGAGUCGGUGUGGCUUGGUGACACCAAAGAAGCCACAGGCAGCCGACCUGGACUGGAAUCUCUGAAAGAGACGCCGUAGGAGAUUCCAGGGUGUAAAAAAACAGCCCUCCCAAGAGCAGAAGCAUGUUGGAAAUUCUGGACAAGCUGUAUACAGGAUAAUCUCCCUUCCACCUCUCCCCCUCCUCUGAACAUUAUACACAGAAGUGGCCAGUCUGAACGUACGUGUGUAAGGAAUCGCUACCCAAAGACCCUAGCAGCCCUGCCACUCCUUACAACCAGGAGACGGGAUUGAUGUAAAGGUCCACCAACGAAAGACUGCCUUGGCUCCAUGCUGAAAAGGCUCUUAAGUCCUGGUAACUACCAACACCGUUGUGAAGUGCCAAAGACUAACUGCUUGGACCCAAAAUUCUCAGUGCAAAAAGACCCCUCCACAUUGGGAGAAUUCUCCUACUGAUGAUUAGCCUAUUUCACCUUCUAGCUCCACUGUGCCUUCUGGACAGUAGGGAAAAAGUACAAGGUGAAGUGCUAGUAGCCUCUCCCUUAUCCACUGACAGAUCUACUGUGCCUUUGAAUUUUUCUAGAAAAAGCAAAACCAUUACAGGGUGAUGUGCUAGUAACCUCUCCCCUAUAUGAUGCUGCACCAUGACUGUUUUGGGAAAGAAGAAGGAACACUCACUCCACUGAAAUUGCUAAAGUCCAGGAAUUCCUAACUAGAAAGGACAUUAAGAACUAACCCUGGUGAAGAAACAAAGAAUUGUACACUGGCAGAAAAAAUUUGUGGAACCCAUGCUUGGGAAUGUGGUAUUAAUUGGAUUUUGGGGUAUAUUCUACAGGCUGUGCCCUGUGUUCUGGAUAAAUUCUUCGGCAUGUAUUGAAUUUUAAAUAACAAGUACCCGAAGAGUUUGUUCUGCCACUGGAAAUUUUACCUGUACUGAAACCAUUCCAGUGACUAAUAAUGUAACCCCCUCCUAUGCUAUUAAUGUCAAUGCCUUUUAAAAGUACCUAAAAAUAGUUAAAUAACAAAUGUAAUAUAGUACUACACCAAGGAAAGAUGGUAUUAAAUAUCACUGAGGCUGGGAAGGCAUUGCAGUGGGAUCUAGUAUGUUUGGAAAUUCAAAAUUUCCUGAAUGACCAGCUGAUGGCCAUUCGGAGUGAUCUUUAGUACCAGACUUGGCCCACUGCCCUUACAAACACAUCAGGAGUACCAUCUGAUCUGUGGUCAUGGAGAUAUACUAAAGACUUUCUGGGUGGAAGUGUAAACAUUUACAGUGCUCCUUCCAAUCAUUUGGACCGGGGGGUGUGGGCUUCCACAUACCGAAUCCUGACGGGUCCAUGGGGAGGAUGCACAUGAAACUGGAUUAUUCACCGAAACAUCUGGGAAAUUAAACCACUUGGUAUACCUAACUGAUUUAUACUCAGUGCCCCAAUCCCUUAGUUGUCAGAUAAACAGGAUUCCACUUUUUUGUCCGUGCACUCAUUCCUGGAUUGUGGGUGGCUAAGCUCAAGAGAGCAGUUGUAAAUAUUUCUGCAAAGCUUAAAAAAAACAGCUAAUGCAUAAAUAGACGCUUUCCAAAAGUUGCAACAAAAAACUGAUGAAGUAGCAAAAAUAACUUUGCAAAAUAAACGUGUGCUAAAUGCCAUGGAUGCUAAAUUAGG